rnacentral:rRNA from 1 species
GACAGGUGCUGCACGGCUGUCGUCAGCUCGUGUCGUGAGAUGUUGGGUUAAGUCCCGCAACGAGCGCAACCCACGUAUUUAGUUGCUAACGGUUCGGCCGAGCACUCUAAAUAGACUGCCUUCGUAAGGAGGAGGAAGGUGUGGACGACGUCAAGUCAUCAUGGCCCUUAUGCCCAGGGCGACACACGUGCUACAAUGGCAUAUACAAUGAGACGCAAUACCGCGAGGUGGAGCAAAUCUAUAAAAUAUGUCCCAGUUCGGAUUGUUCUCUGCAACUCGAGAGCAUGAAGCCGGAAUCGCUAGUAAUCGUAGAUCAGCCAUGCUACGGUGAAUACGUUCCCGGGUCUUGUACUCACCGCCCGUCACACCAUGGGAGUUGAUUUCACUCGAAGCCGGAAUACUAAACUAGUUACCGUCCACAGUGGAAUCAGCGACUGGGGUGAAGUCGUAACAAGGUAACCGUAGGAGAACCUGCGGUUGGAUCACCUCCUUUCUAG